UAGGCUCCAGCUUGCCUGCGACCCUGUAGAACAGGAUAAAGCGGCUAGAGAGAAUGAGAUGAGAUUUGAAACAGGUGAUUGUAAUCAUGAUUUGGUACAAAAUCAGCAUCCAGGAAAGGCCUAGUCUUUGAGGAGCAAAGAUGGGUCAAGGAUCUCCAGUUGAUCAACAAAUGCAUGAGAAAAUUUUUGAAAUGUUUAAAAACAAUGUUCCUCAAAGAAAGAUGCAAAGGAAUUUGGAUACUCACCAAACCUUUAGUGAUGCUACAUUUUUUUUUUUUGGAUAUGUUUUGGAUAUGCACCUUUGAUAUUAUUCACAGUGCAUAACACCACUAAAGCUACCAGAGUGUGUUCAAAGCCCACCUUAUUCCCAAUCAAUGCUCUAGGAAUUACAACUCCAAUUCCAAAAAAAAGUUGGGACACUGUGUAAAACAUAAAGAAAAACAGAAUGUGAAUUUGCAAAUCAUGGAAACCAUAUACAGAUACCAGAUACCAUAUAUCAUUGAAAAUAAUACUAAGGCAAUAUAUCAAAUGUUGAAACUGAAAAUUUUUUAUUGUUUUUUGAAAAAUAUAUGUUCAUUUUGAAUUUGAUGUCAGCAACACAUUUCAGAAAACUUGGAACCGGGGCAACAAAAGACUGAAACAGUUGUGUAAUGCUUAAAAUAAAUAAAUAAAUAAAUAAAUAAAUAAAAUAAAACCCCUGUGGCAGCAGGGGCGUGACCAAGCAGCAGUCUGUGAAUGGAGGGCGGAGUCAGGGAAGGUAGGUGGCUAAGUCAUUCUCCCUGCUGUCAAUUAAUGUGUGUGUGUGUGUGUGUGUGUGUGUUUGUUACAGGGAUGGAGCAUAAAAGGGGGGGGGGAGAGCAGAGAAAAGAGGCUCCCGACUAGAAUGCAUGGGUGUGUGCAUGUGUGGGAGUGAGGCUGAAAAGCUAUAUAUAUAGAUCUCUCUUUAAAAAAUAAAAGUUUGUAAGAACUUCAGGUCCCGCCUGCCGUGCUUCUGUACUCCACCCACAUCAGGGAUUUGCUACAGUGGUGCUGAAACCCGGGAUUGAGUACAGAAGGGAACCACCCCAUGGAGUCCUCACCAAUUAUGGAGCUCGUCCAUGCCCUCGCUGCUGCCCAGCAGAACCAGCAUCAAGCGCUGACUGCCCUCUGGAAGGACCAGGAACAACGCUUUGAAGCCUUGAUGCUGGCCCAGCGGGAAGAUUGCCAGGUGUUCCAGUAUCUGCUGGCGUCGGGAGAGGUGUCCAACAUUGCCACUCUGGACUCCCCCCACGUCACCUCAUGAAGAUGGGCCUGCAUGACGAACCUGAAGCCUUCAUCGCUCUCUUCAAGCAAGCGGCCCAAGCAUGGGGGUGGCCAAUCGAGCAGCGCGUGGCUUGCCUCCUCCUGCUCUUGACAGGUGAGGCACAGCUCGUGGUGCAGGAGCUCCCUGCCGACAGCCGGCUCAACUACGCCGACCUCAAGAGGGCCGUUUUGCAGAGGGUCGGCCACUCCCCGGAGCAACAUCGCCAGCGGUUCCGGAAGCUGACACUGGAGGAGGUCGGCCAACCGUUCGCAUUUGGCCAACAACUCUGGGAUGCCUGCCAGCAGUGGCUGGGGGCGGAAGACUGCGACGCAGACAGGAUUGGCACUGGAACAGUGGUGGCACUGGAACAGUUCAUCUCUUGACUUCCCGAAGGAACGGCAGAAUGGGUCCAGUGUCACUGCCUGGCGUCACUCCAGUGAGCCAUUGAGUUGGCAGAGGACCAUCUGGCGGCGGUUCUGAUGACAGGCGGACGAGGCGAAGGUGAGUGACGCCCUUAACACCGGUGCAGAGGGAAAGCCUGGGCGGUAUACUGGUGCGGUGGGGAGCCAGGACAUCUCCAGAAUCAGGGCUCCACAAGGGAGAUGGAAGCCAUGAUCUGGAUCCCCGAUGCGCCAGAGACCGCCCCCGAUCGGGCCGGAACGUAUCGCAUACCGAUGCAUCGGACAGAGGGCUGGGGGCCGUUUUGUCCCAGGAGGUGGAGGGUGUCCCAGGAGGUGUCCAAGGAGGUGGAGGGUCUACUGGACAUGGAAAUGUGAAAUUGCAGCAGAGGUGCUGAUGGAGAAGUGGGAUCGGGAAGGGUCUACGCUGUCAGUCAACAGAACAGUUGCUAAUCUUGGUGACAAGUGCAAAGGGCUACUUGCGAUGCCCUCUCUGGGUGUGACAGUGCUUCAUACCCUUGUGGAAAAGGGAAGAUACCUGCCAUCAAAGCCUUGCAGCAGUGCAAUGUAACAGAACUAGACCUAGUUGGAGAAGAGUCAGCUACUGAAUAUGAUCUGAUGAAGGCAAGCACAAACUCCUUCCUCAUACUGUAUGGGCAGAAAGAUAGCAGGAACAUGGCUGAAGCCAGAUACAAGGUUUUCAAAAGGAAGAAGAAACCACCUGCUCUGAAGAAACUGCUUCCAACUCCAUACUCAGUGGGCUCACCUUCAGGAGUUGCUGUGGAAAGUUGCAGACAAGGAUAGGCCACCGGAAAUAGCAAAAGACAUCACUAGCUUUGGGUGGAUAGUGACUGAACAAGCAGUUAUGCCUGCACUAUCCACCCAACCAGUGGCUCCUCCCCAGCUUCUGGAUGUCGUGAGUUGUGGGUGCAAGUCAUGCCAAAAGAACUGUAAAUGUAGAAAGGAAAGGUUGUCCUGCACUGACUACUGUAACUGUGAAGGAGGUGACGGCUGCCAAAAUCCCCACACAGAACCCACUGAUGAACCUGAUGAUGCAGAAGAUGAUGAAGAGGACUAAAGUAUACAGCAGCUCAUUGAUUAUAAUGUAUGUUUAUGUAAUUUGAACUGUAAUGUACACUACUGUUCAAAAGUUUGGGGUCAUCCAGACAAUUUUGUGUUUUCCAUGAAAAAUCACACUUUUAUUUACCACCAUAAGUUGUAAAAUGAAUAGAAAAUAUAGUCAAGACAUUUUUCUGGCCAUUUUGAGCAUUUAAUCGACCCCACAAAUGUGAUGCUCCAGAAACUCAAUCUGCUCAAAGGAAGGUCAGUUUUAUAGCUUCUCUAAAGAGCUAAACUGUUUUCAGCUGUCCUAACAUGAUUGUACAAGGGUUUUCUAAUCAUCCAUUAGCCUUCUGAGACAAUGAGCAAACACAUUGGUAAUGGUAAUUAGAACACUGGAGUGAUAGUUGCUGGAAAUGGGCCUCUAUACACCUAUGUAGAUAUUGCACCAAAAACCAGACAUUUGCAGCUAGAAUAGUCAUUUACCACAUUAGCAAUGUAUAGAGUGUAUUUCUGAUUAGUUUAAAGUGAUCUUCAUUGAAAAGAACAGUGCUUUUCUUUCAAAAAUAAGGGCAUUUCAAAGUGACCCCAAACUUUUGAACGGUAGUGUACAUAUAUGUAAUGUGAACUGAUUUGUUAAAAUGUUAAUGUCAAAGUUUGUUUUAUUGAUGAUGUCAAAACAUGAAUAGUGUGUGAAGUUACAUAUUCUUUCUUGUUGUCUUUGAAUUAUGAAUAUAUACAUAAUAUUAUAAUGGUUCUGGUUAGAAAACAUAUCCCCAAAUUUUUAAAAUCCUUAAAUCACUAAGUAUGUAAAUAGUACUUUAGAAAGCAUAGACAUUGGAUGUUUCUGGCAAGUACGUCUACAUUUUGGAUUUGUAAUGGUGGCCAUCUUGGAAGAGGCAGCCAUCUUUGAAAGAUAUCAACUAGCCUACAAUAAUAUGUUUGGUUUCAGUGUUUAGAUCACCCUUGAAAACAUAUAAUUAGACACUGAUAUUUUGACUGUAGGGCCUUUGGUUCUCAAACAGAAGCUUUUUGGAGAUUUUUGGUGGCCAUCUUGGAAAAGUAGCCCUAUUGACAAGUUAUCAGAUGUCCUACAAUACUUUUUUUUUUAUCUCAGUGUUUAGAUCACCUUUGAAAACAUAUUUAGACGCUAAAAUUUUGUUUGUAUGGCCUUUGGUUCUCACGCAGUAGCAUUUUGAAGAAUUUAAGCAGCCAUCUUGGGAAAAAUGUGGCUAUCUUGGAAAUCAGAUGGCAACAUCUGCAUUUUGAAAGAAGUGACCCCUGACAGCCAUUCUGACCAAAUAUGGCUUUUGCAUCACCACUUUUACCACACAAGAGAGAUAUCUUACCAAAAAUUAGAUUUUUGCUAAUUGUGAAUAAAUUAUGAUUAAAUUAUGCAAAUUAGAAAAAAAAAUGCCCAAAGUGCAACUUUUAGUAACCAAGCUAAAAUUCAUGUCUAGACCACAUACAGUGCAAAUCAAUCAAAAAACCUUAUUGUAGUCAUAAUUUCCGGGUCCCCUACCCUGGCUACUAGACUAGUUUUUAAUGGUAAAGAAAUGUUUUGGGUGAAUGGAAAUUGUUUUGCUUGUUUGUUUAUUUUAUGUUUUCUUAUUUGAUUCAUUAUUUUGUAAGGAUUUUUUCACAUUAAUUGAUUAUUUUUGUGAAUAGUUUAAGCCAGUGGGGGGAGGGGGCUACACCUGUAGUAGGCCCCAUGGAGGUACUGUUUGUAAAAUGGUGGAAAGUUUGUACAGGGUCCUUUAGUGGCAUAGCCUGGCAACUUUAUGCCUAUUUAUUUUGUGUUUUGUACAGUUUUGUUUUGCCAUUUUUUUGUUAUUGCACUGUAUAUAUUUGCACCUUUUCAAAAAAAUAGAAAAGGACAUUAAAAAAAGAGCACUUUUUAUUGGAAAA